GGUAGUGGCCUGCAGGCUUACGGAGUCCUUUCGGGGAUUCUGAGGAAGUUCCGUCCACGCCAACACCCGUCGUGCGGCGAAAGCUGCUGGGCGGUGUCGCAGAGACGAGAAGGCCGUUUGCGUAAACGGUGAAGGCUUGCUGGAGUUGCAGGCGGUCUGUGUGAAACGGGCCAUUCCGCCUCGGGGGCGUGCAAGACCUGGUUGGUCGCUUAGAAGGAUGCUUGCGCGGUUCCUUAUUGUGCGCGGUGCGCGCUUGGGGCCGACAUAAGACGGGCUAUCGGCCACUGCC
rnacentral:misc_RNA from 1 species